rnacentral:lncRNA from 10 species
UAGAGAAGAGAUUCAAGGUCUGAGCUCUACAUUACUCAAACUGUUAGAGAUUAGGAAGAAGAGGAAGACCUGGCAAAAGAAUGUCCUGGGAUGUAGAAAGAAAACCAGAAGCUUGUGUUCUCUGGAAACCAAAUGAAGAAAGGGCUUCCAGAAGGACAGACAAAGUGUAGUGUGUCAAAGGCUCCUGAGCAAUCAGAGGAGAGCACAAAGGGGCUCACAGGACUUUGGUAUCUGGAUCACCCAGUGACACUUCCUGAUCACGAGAAACUGUCAGACCAACAGGGGCACUUUCUGAAACCAGCAGUUCUUCAGUGCCCAAAUGCAACCUUGAUGGUUUGAUUUUGGAGGAUGGCAAUUCAUUAACAGCACUCCCCAGUGAUAAAUAUGAAAACCAAUAAAACCCCCCACCCAAGGCAAUCUCUCCCAGCUCCUCGCUUUGAGUAAAGAGAAACCAGGAGAAGGCAGUCCUAGGGCAGUCUCCGGGCCAGCUUUCCCUAAUAAGAAGGCAGAGCUCCUCUUCACCCAGACUUCAGACCUAUAGAGGCAGCCUGGGGUCCCGGGAUGCCCUUGCACUCAGAGAUGUCCCCAGAGUCCUAGGGAAAUGGAGGAUAACUAGGAGGAAGCUGUUCAUGGCUGGCGAUGAGGUCUAUACCUUCUUGUCCGUCUCAGUGCUGUCUGCUAUUGAAUUUUUGUGCAGAUCACAUUAACUUAAAGCCAGUUCUCAAGAAGCUCCCCCUGCCGCCGGCAUAUCCACCAGUUGCUCCCCUUUCCUGCCAUUAAUCAGGGUCUGCUAGUUAGAGAACAAAUUCCUAUUUGUCCAAACAGUUGCCAACACCCCCA